rnacentral:misc_RNA from 1 species
UCCGGUUUGUCACCGGCAGUCUGAAGUGAGUCCCCAACUUAAUGCUGGCAACACUUCACGGGGGUUGCGCUCGUUGCGGGACUUAACCCAACAUCUCACGACACGAGCUGACGACAGCCAUGCAGCAUCUGUGGUGCACCCUCGAAGGUCACACGUUUCCGUGCGCUUGCAGCACCAUGUCAAGUCCAGGUAAGGUGGGGAUGACGUCUGAGAGUACGUCC